GGUUAAGCGACUAAGCGUACACGGUGGAUGCCCUGGCAGUCAGAGGCGAUGAAGGACGUGCUAAUCUGCGAUAAGCGUCGGUAAGGUGAUAUGAACCGUUAUAACCGGCGAUUUCCGAAUGGGGAAACCCAGUGUGAUUCGUCACACUAUCAUUAACUGAAUCCAUAGGUUAAUGAGGCGAACCGGGGGAACUGAAACAUCUAAGUACCCCGAGGAAAAGAAAUCAACCGAGAUUCCCCCAGUAGCGGCGAGCGAACGGGGAGCAGCCCAGAGCCUGAAUCAGUGUGUGUGUUAGUGGAAGCGUCUGGAAAGGCGUGCGAUACAGGGUGACAGCCCCGUACACAAAAAUGCACAUACUGUGAGCUCGAUGAGUAGGGCGGGACACGUGGUAUCCUGUCUGAAUAUGGGGGGACCAUCCUCCAAGGCUAAAUACUCCUGACUGACCGAUAGUGAACCAGUACCGUGAGGGAAAGGCGAAAAGAACCCCGGCGAGGGGAGUGAAAAAGAACCUGAAACCGUGUACGUACAAGCAGUGGGAGCACGCUUAGGCGUGUGACUGCGUACCUUUUGUAUAAUGGGUCAGCGACUUAUAUUCUGUAGCAAGGUUAACCGAAUAGGGGAGCCGAAGGGAAACCGAGUCUUAACUGGGCGUUAAGUUGCAGGGUAUAGACCCGAAACCCGGUGAUCUAGCCAUGGGCAGGUUGAAGGUUGGGUAACACUAACUGGAGGACCGAACCGACUAAUGUUGAAAAAUUAGCGGAUGACUUGUGGCUGGGGGUGAAAGGCCAAUCAAACCGGGAGAUAGCUGGUUCUCCCCGAAAGCUAUUUAGGUAGCGCCUCGUGAAUUCAUCUCCGGGGGUAGAGCACUGUUUCGGCAAGGGGGUCAUCCCGACUUACCAACCCGAUGCAAACUGCGAAUACCGGAGAAUGUUAUCACGGGAGACACACGGCGGGUGCUAACGUCCG
rnacentral:rRNA from 3 species